AGAGUUUGAUCCUGGCUCAGGAUGAACGCCGGCGGUGUGCCUAAUACAUGCAAGUCGUACGCACUGGCCCAACUGAUUGAUGGUGCUUGCACCUGAUUGACGUUGGAUCACCAGUGAGUGGCGGACGGGUGAGUAACACGUAGGUAACCUGCCCCGGAGCGGGGGAUAACAUUUGGAAACAGAUGCUAAUACCGCAUAACAACAAAAGCCACAUGGCUUUUGUUUGAAAGAUGGCUUUGGCUAUCACUCUGGGAUGGACCUGCGGUGCAUUAGCUAGUUGGUAAGGUAACGGCUUACCAAGGCGAUGAUGCAUAGCCGAGUUGGGAGACUGAUCGGCCACAAUGGAACUGAGACACGGUCCAUACUCCUACGGGAGGCAGCAGUAGGGAAUCUUCCACAAUGGGCGCAAGCCUGAUGGAGCAACACCGCGUGAGUGAAGAAGGGUUUCGGCUCGUAAAGCUCUGUUGUUGGAGAAGAACGUGCGUGAGAGUAACUGUUCACGCAGUGACGGUAUCCAACCAGAAAGUCACGGCUAACUACGUGCCAGCAGCCGCGGUAAUACGUAGGUGGCAAGCGUUAUCCGGAUUUAUUGGGCGUAAAGCGAGCGCAGGCGGUUGCUUAGGUCUGAUGUGAAAGCCUUCGGCUUAACCGAAGAAGUGCAUCGGAAACCGGGCGACUUGAGUGCAGAAGAGGACAGUGGAACUCCAUGUGUAGCGGUGGAAUGCGUAGAUAUAUGGAAGAACACCAGUGGCGAAGGCGGCUGUCUGGUCUGCAACUGACGCUGAGGCUCGAAAGCAUGGGUAGCGAACAGGAUUAGAUACCCUGGUAGUCCAUGCCGUAAACGAUGAGUGCUAGGUGUUGAAGGGUUUUCGCCCUUCAGUGCCGGAGAUAACGCAUUAAGCACUCCGCCUGGGGAGUACGACCGCAAGGGUUGAAACUCAAAGGAAUUGACGGGGGCCCGCACAAGCGGUGGAGCAUGUGGUUUAAUUCGAAGCUACGCGAAGAACCUUACCAGGUCUUGACAUCUUGCGCUAACCUUAGAGAUAAGGCGUUCCCUUCGGGGACACAAUGACAGGUGGUGCAUGGUCGUCGUCAGCUCGUGUCGUGAGAUGUUGGGUUAAGUCCCGCAACGAGCGCAACCCUUGUUACUAGUUGCCAGCAUUAAGUUGGGCACUCUAGUGAGACUGCCGGUGACAAACCGGAGGAAGGUGGGGACGACGUCAGAUCAUCAUGCCCCUUAUGACCUGGGCUACACACGUGCUACAAUGGACGGUACAACGAGUCGCAAGCUCGCGAGAGUAAGCUAAUCUCUUAAAGCCGUUCUCAGUUCGGACUGUAGGCUGCAACUCGCAAACACGAAGUCGGAAUCGCUAGUAAUCGCGGAUCUGCAUGCCGCGG
rnacentral:rRNA from 1 species